GAUUAGAGUUUGAUCCUGGCUCAGAUUGAACGCUGGCGGCGUGCCUAACACAUGCAAGUCGAACGUGAGAGGGUACUUGUAUUCUUGAAAGUGGCGGACGGGUGAGUAAGACGUAGGUGACCUGCCUUGAAGUGGGGGAUAACCAUUGGAAACGAUGGCUAAUACCGCAUAAGCUGGUGACGAUGUGAAUCGUUAUCAGGAAAGCUUUAGUGCUUUGAGAGGGGCCUACGGCCGAUUAGCUAGUUGGUGAGGUAAAGGCUCACCAAGGCGAUGAUCGGUAGCUGGUCUGAGAGGACGAUCAGCCACACGGGAACUGAGACACGGUCCCGACUCCUACGGGGGGCAGCAGUGAGGAAUAUUCGGCAAUGGGGGCAACCCUGACCGAGCAACGCCGCGUGGAGGAUGACGGUUUUCGGAUUGUAAACUCCUUUUCUCAGGGAAGAGCGAGGACGGUACCUGGGGAAUAAGUCACGGCUAACUACGUGCCAGCAGCCGCGGUAAUAAU
rnacentral:rRNA from 1 species